rnacentral:rRNA from 1 species
CCAUGCGAGUCGAGAGGGUUCGGCCCUCGGCAGACUGCUCAGUAACACGUGGACAAUCUACCCUUAGGUGGAGGAUACUCUCGGGAAACUGAGAAUAAUACUCCAUAGAUCUAGGAUGCUGGAAUGCACCUAGAUUGAAAGUUCCGGCGCCUAAGGAUGAGUCUGCGGACUAUCAGGUAGUAGCCAGGGUAAAGACCUGACUAGCCUACAACGGAUACGGGUUGUGAGAGCAAUAGCCCGGAGACGAUAUCUGAGACACGAUAUCGGGCCCUACGGGGCGCAGCAGGCGCGAAAUCUUCACAAUGUGCGAAAGCACGAUGAGGGGAUCCCAAGUGUUGGUUCGUAAGAGUCAUCUGUUUCUUUGUCUAAAAAACAGAGAGAGUAAGAGCUGGGUAAGACGGGUGCCAGCCGCCGCGGUAAUACCUGCAGCUCAAGUGGUGGCCACUAUUAUUGGGCCUAAAACGUCCGUAGCCGGUUUAGUUAAUGCCUGGGUAAAUUGUGUAGCUCAACUAUACGAAUACCGGGUAGACUGCUAAACUUGGGACCGGGAGAGGCUAGAGGUACUCCUGGGGUAGAGGUGAAAUUCUGUAAUCCUAGGGGGACCACCAGUGGCGAAGGCGUCUAGCCAGAACGGGUUCGACGGUGAGGGACGAAGCCCUGGGGCGCAAACCGGAUUAGAUACCCGGGUAGUCCAGGGUGUAAACGCUGCUCGCUUGAUGUUAGUCGGGCUCCGAGCCCAACUAGUGUCGGAGAGAAGUUGUUAAGCGAGCUGCCUGGGAAGUACGGUCGCAAGGCUGAAACUUAAAGGAAUU